rnacentral:rRNA from 1 species
AUUGAACGCUGGCGGCAGGCCUAACACAUGCAAGUCGAACGAGUGGCGGAAGGGUGAGUGAGGUGUGGGAAACUGCCUGAUGGGGGGGGAUAACUACUGGAAACGGUCGCUAAUACCGCAUAACAUAAGGUGUGCCAACAUGGGAUGAGAUUGGUGGGGGGGUAACGGCUCACCAAGGCGACGAGCCCUAGCUGGUCUGAGAGGAUGACCAGCCCACCUGCAACUGAGACACGGUCCAGACUCCUCCGGGAGGCAGCAGUGGGGAAUAUUGCACAAUGGGCGCAAGCCUGAUGCAGCCAUGCCGCGUGUAUGAAGAAGGCCUUCGGGUUGUAAAGUACUUUCAGCGGGGAGGCGUUACCCGCAGAAGAAGCACCGGCUAACUCCGUGCCAGCAGACGCGGUAAUAC